rnacentral:rRNA from 1 species
GACCCCUACACCUAGCGCCCACCGUUUACGGCAUGGACUACCAGGGUAUCUAAUCCUGUUCGCUACCCAUGCUUUCGCUCCUCAGCGUCAGUUACUGCCCAGAGACCCGCCUUCGCCACCGGUGUUCCUCCUGAUAUCUGCGCAUUUCACCGCUACACCAGGAAUUCCAGUCUCCCCUACAGUACUCAAGUUAUGCCCGUAUCGCCUGCACGCCCGGAGUUAAGCCCCGGAAUUUCACAGACGACGCGACAAACCACCUACGAGCUCUUUACGCCCAGUAAUUCCGGACAACGCUCGCACCCUACGUAUUACCGCGGCUGCUGGCACGUAGUUAGCCGGUGCUUCUUCUCCAUCUACCGUCAGAAAACCUUCGUCGAUGGUGAUAGGAGUUUACAACCCGAAGGCCGUCAUCCCCCACGCGGCGUCGCUGCAUCAGGCUUCCGCCCAUUGUGCAAUAUUCCCCACUGCUGCCUCCCGUAGGAGUCUGGGCCGUGUCUCAGUCCCAAUGUGGCCGUCCACCCUCUCAGGCCGGCUACCCGUCGCCGCCUUGGUAGGCCAUUAC